rnacentral:lncRNA from 1 species
AAUUACAAUAAUUCGCAUCUCAUGAGGGAUUUCAAUUUUUCACAUAAUGUUGACCUGCUAGAAUAUGGACGGAACCAUUUAGUUAACCCAUUGAGUCAUAGUGUCCAUAAUUAUGGACAUGAACUUCGGAGGUCUACCGUGAGCUUUUUGGACAAUUAUUGAGGUUGGCGCUGGUCAAAGAUAUUUUUUUUCAAGUUAUGUUGUUCAUAAUUCCAAAGAGGAAGGUUGCAGGCGAUGAUUUCUCCACUUCCAAUUGAUUUCCGUCAAUGUCCGCGCGUUCGGUAAUUUUUGAAAAGUUCAUGUCCAUAAUUGUGGACAACAUGAUAAAAUGACGUCAACACUUUCCCGCGCGAAUCUAACCACACAUUUUCGUAUCUCGGCUCCUAUUGGUCGGAUUGAAAAAUUUCUUGGACUGAAAAUUUUCAAAAAAUACACACAUCAAGAAUAUCAAAUAAAAAAAAAUCCAUCCCUUACAGUCUGAGUGCGUGUCUCAAUGGGUAAGGCCAAUUCUAGUGUCAACAGGUUUUACUCGCCUUUGGAGUAAUAAAGCAUGGGACGUGAACAGGCACUAUUAUCCCGUUGAUGGCAAUGCAUCGAACGUUAUUUGCGACUAAAGGAAAGUAUUCUUUGGUCCGAACACGCGCGAAAUUCCCCUCGUUAAGGAGCAUUUACGAGAGGUGUAACGAGAACAAGAUUCCUCUGGAA